rnacentral:piRNA from 1 species
UGGGAGCCAUGGAAAGUUGAGGUGUAGA